rnacentral:rRNA from 1 species
AUGGAUAAGAGUUGGAUGAGGUUGCCUGAUAGGUUUUCAAGUGAUUACAUUUCAGGGGUGAAUGCAUUCAUUGAUUUUGCUUGUCAACAUAACAGCGGCAAUGAUAAGAUGCGUUGCCCUUGUGAAACUUGUAUGAAUAUAAGUCAGCAGAGUGUUAGUCAAGUUCGAACCCAUUUGUUAUUGUAUGGCAUACAAACUUCGUACACAAAAUGGAUAUUCCAUGGAGAACAAGUUAGCAAUGAUGAAGACCAAGUUGAUGAGUCACUUGAAGAUGAGGAAGAUCUUGAUGAUUUUGAUGGAUUUGAUAUGGUCCAAGAUCUGCUAGGAGAUACCCAUAGAGCCACGGUUGGGGUUGACGAGCAAGAGAACCAUAAUCCUACUGGAGGUAGCAUUCCGGAGCCCAAUGAGUCAUCGACCAGAUUUGACGGCUUGCUGAGAAGUUCACAACGUGAGCUAUACCCGGGCUGCAAAGGCCACUCGGUGCUAUCCUUUGUUUUAAAGCUGGUACACCUCAAAGAUCUUAACCAUUGGAGCAACAAAUCUUUUGACAUGUUACUCAAGCUUCAGAAGGAGGCUUUGCCAGCCGGUAACUCGCUUCCAGCCACGUACUAUGAAGCAACGAAUAUGUUGAGAGAUCUAGGGCUAGGUUAUGAAAGUAUUGAUGCUUGCAUAAAUGAUUGUGUUCUAUUCUGGAAGGAGCAUGAGGACAAGGAUGAGUGCCCAGUUUGUAAGGAAUCGAGGUGGAAGACACAGAAGGGCAAGGGGAAGCAAGUACCUCAGAAAGUGUUGCGCUACUUUCCCUUAAUCCCUAGAUUACAACGGCUGUUCAUGAACAAGGAAAUAGCUUCAGAUUUGCGUUAUCAUAGGGAUAAGAGAGUUGUCGAACCAAAUGUGUUGAGGGGUCCUCCGGAUGGCGAUGCUUGGAAACAUAUGGAUAAGAAAUAUCCCUGGAUGGAAGAAGACCCUCGCCAUUUGCGGCUCGGGGUUGGCACCGAUGGUUUCAACCCAUUUGGAAUUAUGAGUAGCUCAUAUAGUGUGUGGCCUGUCAUUGUAGUUGUGUAUAACUUGCCUCCAUGGAGAAGCAUGAAAGAGCCCUUCCUGCUCAUGACAUUAUUGAUCCCUGGGAAGAAGUCACCGGGAAGGGACAUUGAUGUGUAUUUGAGGCCAUUGGUUGAAGAACUAAAGCAAUUAUUUAAUCUAGGAGUUGUUACUUUUGACGCUGUUGAAGGAGGUAGUUUCAAUAUGCGUGCAAUAUUGCUAUGGACUAUCCACGACCUUCCAGCACUAGGUUCAGUAUUUGGGUAUUCUACAAUGGGCUACAAGGCAUGCCCUGUUUGCCUAGAUGGAACCUAUUCGCAACCACUUCGAAGCAAAAUUGGUUUCUUAGGCCAUAGGAGGUACUUGCCUAUUCGCCAUAGGUGGCGCAAAAGUAAGGCCUUCAAUGGUAAGAAAGAGAAAGCGUUGCCACCAAAACAACUAUCUGGGAAAGACAUUUUUGAAUUGCUGCAGAAGUUAGAUCAUCUCCAGGGCUUCAAAUAA